rnacentral:rRNA from 1 species
GACGAACGCUGGCGGCGUGCUUAACACAUGCAAGUCGAACGGAAAGGCCCUGCUUUUGUGGGGUGCUCGAGUGGCGAACGGGUGAGUAACACGUGAGUAACCUGCCCUUGACUUUGGGAUAACUUCAGGAAACUGGGGCUAAUACCGGAUAGGAUCUCCUGCUGCAUGGUGGGGGUUGGAAAGUUUCGGCGGUUGGGGAUGGACUCGCGGCUUAUCAGCUUGUUGGUGGGGUAGUGGCUUACCAAGGCUUUGACGGGUAGCAUGCCUGAGAGGGUGACCGGCCACAUUGGGACUGAGAUACGGCCCAGACUCCUACGGGAGGCAGCAGUGGGGAAUAUUGCACAAUGGGCGGAAGCCUGAUGCAGCAACGCCGCGUGCGGGAUGACGGCCUUCGGGUUGUAAACCGCUUUCGCCUGUGACGAAGUGUGAGUGACGGUAAUGGGUAAAGAAGCACCGGCUAACUACGUG